UAGUUUGCUGAGCCCCCGAUUUUCUUGGCCUAGCCGAUCGUUUUGGUCGUCUGUAUAUAUUUAAGAUUGGAUCUGGAGGCAUGCAAUCAAAAUAACCUCAUCUCUCUCUCCAACUAGAUCUCUACGUCCAGCGGAUAUUCAACAAAACGGCUAAAGGAAAAAGGCGGGACAUGGCUCCAAUGUUCUCCAGCGCCGGCCUCCGGUCAUGUCCUUUCCCAUCCCUGCCAACUGUAAUGACGUGUUUCAAGUAUGAAAUUGGAUCGAAAAGCAAUCGAGGCGCAGAAACUAACAGGCGACUAUCGGCAUGUCAGCUGCGACGAGAACAACGUACGACUGCUGUAGACGCGCAGAUGCAGCCCUACUUAGUUGCGACGGCAACGACGAGGAAUGGCCGCAUGUCCACAAGUUCAGCGGUGCAAGGGCAACAUACGGCGCACGACGACGGCGCCGCUAAUGAUGUACGGUUGCGGAGAUCAUGGGAACCUCCCAUUGAGAUCUUCCGAUGAUCCAUGCAUGGCAUCACGUCUGCAUCAUGUACAUGCAUGCCGUUAGG